UACAGAGGUCUCAAGCGUUGUUCGGAUUCAUUGGGCGUAAAGGGUGCGUAGGCGGCGCGGUAAGUCGGAUGUGAAAUCUCGGAGCUUAACUUCGAAACUGCAUUCGAUACUGCCGUGCUUGAGGACUGGAGAGGAGACUGGAAUUUACGGUGUAGCGGUGAAAUGCGUAGAUAUCGUAAGGAAGACCAGUGGCGAAGGCGGGUCUGCUGGACAGUUCCUGACGCUGAGGCACGAAGGUCAGGGGGAGCAAACGGG
rnacentral:rRNA from 1 species